GACGAACGCUGGCGGCGUGCCUAAUACAUGCAAGUCGAGCGGACGGAUGGGAGCUUGCUCCCAGACCGUCAGCGGCGGACGGGUGAGUAACACGUGGGCAACCUGCCUGUAAGACUGGGAUAACUCCGGGAAACCGGGGCUAAUACCGGAUAACUCUUUCCCUCACAUGAGGGAAAGCUGAAAGAUGGCAUCUCGCUAUCACUUACAGAUGGGCCCGCGGCGCAUUAGCUAGUUGGUGAGGUAACGGCUCACCAAGGCGACGAUGCGUAGCCGACCUGAGAGGGUGAUCGGCCACACUGGAACUGAGACACGGCCCAGACUCCUACGGGAGGCAGCAGUAGGGAAUCUUACGCAAUGGACGAAAGUCUGACGGAGCAACGCCGCGUGAGUGAUGAAGGUUUUCGGAUCGUAAAACUCUGUUGUCAGGGAAGAACAAGUACCGGAGUAACUGCCGGUACCUUGACGGUACCUGACCAGAAAGCCACGGCUAACUACGUG
rnacentral:rRNA from 1 species